rnacentral:lncRNA from 1 species
AUUUCUAAUAAAAAAUGGAGUUGGAAAAAUAUGUGAAGAUCAACAACUUGCUCGACAUUGCUUCAUGAUCUCUACAAAGAAUAAUCAAUCUGAAGACUCUUUGUCUACUGAUAAAUUGGACCAAAGAGAAAAUGAAGAAAUAGGAGAAUCAGCCGAGCAACUGAUUUCUAUCCCAUUGAGAGAAGAUAAUCCUGAGAAGAUAGUUUAAAUU